rnacentral:lncRNA from 1 species
CCACACAAACUCAUAGUAAAGCACAGAACUAGAUUACAUAACAUAAAUACGACACCCAUAAGUAUUAGAAAACAGAGGAAAGCACACAGAUUCGUAAUAAAACAUGGAACGCGGAAUCAUAACAAGAAUAAAACCCCCCACCAAGUAAUUCCCUACCUUAGCAACCCAAACCGGCCCUAGUCUUCUGCCCUAAUUCGCGUCCUCCAGACCUUCCUAUCUAGGGUCAUGUCCUCGGUGAGCUGUAACUGCUCCAUGUCCCGCCUAAUCACCUCACCCCAGUACUUCUUCGGCCUACCCCUACCCCACCUAAAACCAUCCAACGCUAGCCUCUCACACCUACGACGACCCGGGGCAUCCCGGCCCCUCCUCUUCACGGGUCCGAACCAUCUCAAUCGGGCUUCCCACAUCUUGCACUCUACUGGAGUCACACCAACCUUCUCCCGGAUAGUCUCAUUCCGAACUCUAUCCCCUCUAGUCAGCCCAN